rnacentral:rRNA from 1 species
UACGGGGGGGGGCAAGCGUUGUUCGGAAUUACUGGGCGUAAAGGGCUCGUAGGCGGCCAACUAAGUCAGACGUGAAAUCCCUCGGCUCAACCGAGGAACGUCGAUCGAUACUACCGUUCUUGAGGAUUGCAGAGGAGACUGGAAUUCCCGGUGUAGCGGUGAAAGUGUGUAGAGAUCGGGAGGAACACCGGUGGCGAAGGCGGGUCUCUGGGCAAUUCCUGACGCUGAGGCGCGAAAGCGUGGGGAGCAAACGGG